rnacentral:rRNA from 1 species
GACGAACGCUGGCGGCGUGCUUAAUACAUGCAAGUAGAACGCAGUUGCGAACGGGUGAGUAAUGCGUAGGUAACCUGCCUCAUAGCGGGGGAUAACUCUUGGAAACGAUAGCUAAUACCGCAUACUGUGAGAUGGACCUGCGUUGUAUUAGCUAGUUGGUGAGGUAAAGGCUCAACAAGGCGACGAUACAUAGCUGACCUGAGAGGGUGAGAGGCGAAACUGGAACAGGGGAACGGACAAAAGGCCGAGGGGCGGAAGCCGGAGGGAAGCGGGGGAUAUGGACGAAAGGCUGACCGAGGAACGCCGCGUGAGUGAGGAGGGUUUUCGGAUCGUAAGGCUCUGUUGUUAGAGAAGCGGUAGCUAACCAAGAAGCGACGGCUAACUACGUGCCAGCAGCCGCGGUAAUAC